rnacentral:SRP_RNA from 1 species
CUCCAGGAACCAUGCAAUUGAAUGUCGCCCAACCCGGUCAGAAUCGGAAGGUAGCAGCCGUAAGUGAUUAUUCACUGUGUUAUGGAUCUCUUGGUGUUA